ACACAACAGCAUCUAUAGCCUUUAUAAAACUCCCAGGAACUGCCUUAAGGAAAUAAUCGACGGGCUCAUGAGGAUUCCCCCUAAAGCUAUACCCCUCAGGUAAUCCAUCCCAUACAUUAAAAGGCUUAAUUUUAUCAUGGUUUUUGCUAAAAGUUGAGUUGUUUGAUUGUUGGGUGCUAAGGAAGGAAAACAUGGUGUCGGGGCAAGCGUCUGAUAGUUGACGGGUAAUGUUGAGAAGAGGGACCGCAUGGGUGCCGAAAGGGAAAGCCAACACUGCUAUGUGUUUAGAAGCAUUCUUGUAGCCUUCCAUUGGAUAUUCUUUCUCUAUUCUCUC
rnacentral:lncRNA from 1 species